rnacentral:tRNA from 1 species
GCCUGGGUGGCUCAGUUGGUUAAGUGACUGCCUUUGGCUCAGGUCAUGAUCUCACGGUUCGUGGGUUCAAGCCCCACAUCAGGCU